AUGCACUUUAAACAGCAGGUCAUGAAAUUUACAUGUUGAAGAAGUCCCAGGACUUGACAAAAUUAUUAAGACCAGACUACAUUGUUAUGUAUUAAUAUAUAUAAUUAUUUACAAAGCAAAUGUCCAAUUUAUCAAAUCGAGCAUAUAUUAUACAAUAUGUAUAAACAUUAUGUAUCGAGUACACUGGAGAUCGAGAGAGAAUUAUAUUUUAAAAGUUUAAGAAUUUUGUAGAAAUUUCUGCUUAUAUUUUUAGCUAGCUGUACCACAGGAAACCCCCCAAAAAAACCAUCUAUGGAAAAAGUAAUUUCUAUAAUGGUAUAUUGAUAAUAUGUCCUAUUUACGAAUCCAAGUAUGAUCUAUUAAAUUCUUUUCAAAAUGCAUUCUUAUCAUCGACGGAAAAAACUAUAAUCACCAUGAUGUGAACAUCAAUGAAAGCCAUUGAUGGUUUAAAAAAGGAGAACCAUUAAAUGGUAAUUAUUAAUUGCCUUAUCCAUUGAUGGCUUAUACAAAUGGGGAUAGUAUUAUUUCGCAUCUUCAAAAACAUUAAUUUUCAGGGCCUUUUUAAAGAAUUUGUCAGUGGGGGGAAUCUACUAUAUAAUGGGACCAUACUGGACUGAGUAUGGAGAGAUGACAGAUGGUUGUUUUUUUACCCCUAGGACAGCAUUUUGUGCAUUUUUGUAAACAGAUUUUUUUAUACACAGCGUUGCAUUAUACUGUAGAUAGACUAAAUCGUCAGUUAUAUAAGUACUCACAUGGUCAUCGCAUUUGGUGAAAGAUGGAACGUUCCAACUCGGCUGUCGCCUUGUUGAAUGGAACAUUCCAUCUUUCACCUCAUGAAAAUAUUCUUACCAUUGCACUCAUAAACAUUCAUUACAGUAUUUGUAUAAUAUAAUGCACAAUAACAUGGCAAAAGUGGCAUAACCUUUUCUUUAUAUGCUCUACAUGGUUAAAAAGGCCCUGUUAAUGUCUUUGUAUCUUUCUUAAUCCACAAUUGUCUUGUUUUCAUCGCUGUACCUACACAUUGGCACAGAAAUUCGUCUUCAAUGUACACAUCUACAGUAUGUGAUGUUUUUCAUUCAAAUAUCAAAUAUUAUGAUUCCUAUAAUUUCUUCGGGAUCCUGUUUCGCUUCCUAUCCCAGCAACACUUGGGGGUGCACGCCGGAGCACAGCCACCUGAACACCCCCUACCGCACGUCUGCAUGGGUGGUGGGGUGGGGUUGCAACAUUGUUGACCACAGGAUGGGGCACACGCCUGUGGACAGGGUGCUGGGCAUUGCUGUUGAGUUUGUGACAAACC